CAGACAUACUCCUAUGUAUGUUCUCUUUUAAGGAUUUAUAGUUUUACCUCAUAUAUUUAGUUCUGUGGAUUCAUUUUGAGGUGGUUUUUUUUAAAUAUUGUGUGAGGUGAGGGUCCAAAUUCAUCCAUUUGAAGGUAGAUAUCUUGCUGUUCAAAAAACUAUUCCUUCCCCAACUAAAUUGUCUUGACACCUUUGUUAAGAAUCAGUUGCUCAUAAGUGUUAUUCUGUCCCAUUGAUCUUUUAUACCCCUCCUUAUGACACUGCUACACAGCUUUGAUUUCUGUGUUGUUAUAUUAAGUUUUGAAAUUCACAGGUGUGAGCCCUCCAACUUUGUUCUUUUUCAUGACUGUUUUUGGUCAUUGGGGUUUUUUGUUUCCAUAUAAAUUUUAAAAUUAGUUCUUGAAUUUCUACAAAAAAGUCAGGUGGGACUUUUAGUUGAAAAUUUAUUGACUCAUUUACCCAAUUUGGGGAAUACUGCCAUCUUAACUAUAAGUUUUUUGAUCCACGAACAUGAAAUGCCUUCCAUUUAUGUAUACCUUUAAUCAUUCUCAACACAUUCUUAGUUUUAAGUAUAAAUAUAAUACUUUUAUUAAGCCCAUCCCUAUGUAUGUUUGCUACUUAUAUGGAUGCGAUUUUUACAAUGUUUUUAUUAUUACUGGUGUAGCAAAUGAUUUUUGUAUAUUGAUCUUGGAUCUUGUAUCCUUGCUGAAUGUAUUCAUUAGUUCUAGUAGAUUUUUAGGGAAACUUUUAGGGUUUUCUAUAUAUAGUGUCACAUCAUCUGUAUAUAGUGACAACUUUACCUCUUGUCUUCCAAUUUGGAUCCCUUUUAUUUGUUUUUGUUGCCUGAUUGCUGUGGCUAGGACUUCAAGACUAUGUUGAAUAGAAUUGCUGUG